UUUUUUUUUUUUUUUUAAUUUUGUUUGUUUUCUUAAUGUAGCUUUUUGAGGGGAAGUUAGUUUAAUCUCUUAUUCUCAAAGCACACAGCAGUUCUGGUUUAAGUAUAGAACUUGGCGAACAACAGAAUCCCAGGAGUUGCUGAGUUGUCCCUCCCUCAGUAUAGUCUCUAGUCUGUGUUUACUCAGUGAGAUCAGUAACCUGAACUACCUAUGGCAGCCCAGCAGUGCUGCUCCAGUGAAACUUGGGCUAAUCAGUAGUUCUUAUGCUAAUUCAGCACAGGCCCUGCCUCCCUGUGUAGUCAGACAUACUGAAGGUUAGCAUUGCCCACUGGCCUGUUUCUUCUAGCUGUACAUUGUCAAACAUGAACAACCACUUCUUUCAGAGUGACACAAAGGGGGCUUGUCUUGAAGCAGGAACUGACCAUUUAUAUUUGUACCUAUGUAUUGCCUAAUAAUGACAGCGUCCUGGACUAAUCCUUUGAUCUGGGAAAGCUCUGAAAGGUGGCUCCAGCAGCCCCGCACUGUGCUCUUACGUGCUGUUCUGUUGUGUUCCAUUUAAAUCAAGUAGCAUGCGGUGUUCUAUCGUAGUAUCGUAGCUUUUGCUGUGUAAAUGUCACUUGCUUUGCAUUCUCAAUCAUGCUUUCGCCAUAACAUUUAACUGAUGAUGUCAUGAAGUUCUAAUAAAGUGUCAUUCCUUUGGAAAGCAAGGGAUUCCCACUUGGAGAGUUUUAGGAUGAAAGUAGCAAGUUUAUCCAAAAGGUGGAACCAGGGACGCAAGCAGUGUCUUCAGAAACUGAUCCGUUUCGACGUGUACCCAGAGUGACGGCACCUUUUAUAGGACACGAUGCCAGUAGUGUGCCAAGGUCAGUUCACAUAGAUGACUAACAUGGAAGUGUGUGCCUUUCAGUAGAUGAGCUCUUGCCUGGUGGUCAUUUGUAUUCUCACACCACCGGAAUGCCCGCGAACACACGCACUUUCUUAGUGACACAACUUUGUCCCGUGCAGUUUCUAGAGUCAAACAGGAUAGGAGGGGAUAUUUAUAUGAGGCGUUUGUAUUUGAAAUGUUGAAAUUUCUGUUAAAUAAGUCUCACAUUUACACUGUUGCAGUUUUAAAAGUCAGGCUGGCAUCAAAAUUCACGAAGCGUGUACCGAGAUUGAAAUGUGUUAUUGACAAGCAUAUUCUGGCUUUAGAAGACAAUGUAAAAAAGUACUAGUUUUUAUAUAAAGGCUUUCUUUUGCUCUAUUGAAAAUCAAGUUUUUCUUUUGGUGGCUUGUAUGGACGAAUGCAGAGUUGUCUCCCUCUGAGAGUUUUUUUUUUUUAUAUUAUAGCAAUAAUGUCACCAUAUUAGAGGAUAAGUAUACCGUGUAUAAGAACAGACCUAUCUCCUCUUAGCAGUUUUCCCUUUAUAACAGCAUUUUCUUCCACUUGAGAAGGCUCUUGUAUUUUCAUAUUACAUCAUAUGAGAAUAUGAAGCUUUUGAGCUUUUGUGCAAUGUGUUAUUUUGUUGAUCUGUGUACAUUUUCAUUUCAUGUCUCCUUCCUACCUGUCUGAAUCAGCUGUAUCAGAUGUGGAGGUUUUGGUUAAUGGUUUGUGUGUUUUCUCAUCCUUAUUGUUCAGUUUAGCUUUUCAUCUGUUACCCUUAUGGAAAUUAUUCUGGUUUAUAUUCUUCCUCCUGGAAGCCCACCUUUGCCCUUCUGUUAUCUUCCUUUGGUGCAUGAUUUAAGGAAGACUGCAUCAAAUUUAAUAUUUUUAGUUUUGAAGAAUAAAAGUUUCCUCCCGUUUGCGGGGAGAACAAACCACCAUUGAAUAAACCAUUGGUCUUUCAGUCAAGCUUCUUUAGAUCAGUUCAGUGUGCAUCGGUUACACCGGGUGGGAGGGGCCGGCCAUAGCUGUUCGGAGCUACUAUUGUCGACUGCUGUUGUACAGACUGUUCUGUGUAAGGGCGUGAAUAUAUUUAUUAUGUUUGUAAAAUUCACUCUGUACACUUGCAGACCAAGGUUGCUCUUCUGUGAUAUAUCGGGUGUUAAGUUUUAAAGACCAUCUUGGAAUACAAUUAAAGAGCUUAGUAUUUUGAUGUAC
rnacentral:lncRNA from 1 species